rnacentral:lncRNA from 1 species
GGUAUUCCUGAGUAUCUCAGUAAAGUUAUUAUAUCCUCUAUUUCAAAUCUACUAUGCAGGUUAUGUAGAAUGCUGUUCUUUUGUCUAAAUUUAGACCUGCCAGAGGCAUCAGACAAGGGUGCUAUUUCAAAUCUACUAUGCAGGUUAUGUAGAAUGCUGUUCUUUUGUCUAAAUUUAGACCUGCCAGAGGCAUCAGACAAGGGUGCUCGCUCUCUUCCUAUCUUUUUAUGCUUUGCAUGGAAUGGCUUGGUCAUUUGAUUCAUUCAGCUAUUUCGGUGGAAAAGUGGAACCCAAUACAUAUGGGUCGCCUAUCUCACAUUUGUUCUUUACAGAUGACCUAGUUAUUUUCAGCAAAGCGGACUUGUGGUUUUUGUGGGCAUCUUAUUAAUGUAAGGAAUAUUCUGGAUCGGUUCUGUGGGCAUCUUAUUAAUGCAAGGAAGACCAACAUUUUGUGGGCAUCUUAUUAAUGUAAGGAAUAUUUUUGUGGGCAUCU